CAGCAGCCGCGGUAACACGGAGGGUGCAAGCGUUAAUCGGAAUUACUGGGCGUAAAGCGUGCGCAGGCGGUUUGUUAAGACAGAUGUGAAAUCCCCGGGCUCAACCUGGGAACUGCAUUUGUGACUGGCAAGCUAGAGUGUGGCAGAGGGGGGUGGAAUUCCGCGUGUAGCAGUGAAAUGCGUAGAUAUGCGGAGGAACACCGAUGGCGAAGGCAGCCCCCUGGGCCAACACUGACGCUCAUGCACGAAAGCGUGGGGAGCAAACAGGAUUAGAUACCCGAGUAGUCCCUGUCUCUUAUAA
rnacentral:rRNA from 1 species